GAUGAACGCUGGCGGCGUGCCUAAUACAUGCAAGUCGAGCGAACGGACGAGAAGCUUGCUUCUCUGAUGUUAGCGGCGGACGGGUGAGUAACACGUGGAUAACCUACCUAUAAGACUGGGAUAACUUCGGGAAACCGGAGCUAAUACCGGAUAAUAUUUUGAACCGCAUGGUUCAAAAGUGAAAGACGGUCUUGCUGUCACUUAUAGAUGGAUCCGCGCUGCAUUAGCUAGUUGGUAAGGUAACGGCUUACCAAGGCAACGAUGCAUAGCCGACCUGAGAGGGUGAUCGGCCACACUGGAACUGAGACACGGUCCAGACUCCUACGGGAGGCAGCAGUAGGGAAUCUUCCGCAAUGGGCGAAAGCCUGACGGAGCAACGCCGCGUGAGUGAUGAAGGUCUUCGGAUCGUAAAACUCUGUUAUUAGGGAAGAACAUAUGUGUAAGUAACUGUGCACAUCUUGACGGUACCUAAUCAGAAAGCCACGGCUAACUACGUGCCAGCAGCCGCGGUAAUACGUAGGUGGCAAGCGUUAUCCGGAAUUAUUGGGCGUAAAGCGCGCGUAGGCGGUUUUUUAAGUCUGAUGUGAAAGCCCACGGCUCAACCGUGGAGGGUCAUUGGAAACUGGAAAACUUGAGUGCAGAAGAGGAAAGUGGAAUUCCAUGUGUAGCGGUGAAAUGCGCGGAGAUAUGGAGGAACACCAGUGGCGAAGGCGACUUUCUGGUCUGUAACUGACGCUGAUGUGCGAAAGCGUGGGGAUCAAACAGGAUUAGAUACCCUGGUAGUCCACGCCGUAAACGAUGAGUGCUAAGUGUUAGGGGGUUUCCGCCCCUUAGUGCUGCAGCUAACGCAUUAAGCACUCCGCCUGGGGAGUACGACCGCAAGGUUGAAACUCAAAGGAAUUGACGGGGACCCGCACAAGCGGUGGAGCAUGUGGUUUAAUUCGAAGCAACGCGAAGAACCUUACCAAAUCUUGACAUCCUUUGACAACUCUAGAGAUAGAGCCUUCCCCUUCGGGGGACAAAGUGACAGGUGGUGCAUGGUUGUCGUCAGCUCGUGUCGUGAGAUGUUGGGUUAAGUCCCGCAACGAGCGCAACCCUUAAGCUUAGUUACCAUCAUUAAGUUGGGCACUCUAAGUUGACUGCCGGUGACAAACCGGAGGAAGGUGGGGAUGACGUCAAAUCAUCAUGCCCCUUAUGAUUUGGGCUACACACGUGCUACAAUGGACAAUACAAAGGGCAGCGAAACCGCGAGGUCAAGCAAAUCCCAUAAAGUUGUUCUCAGUUCGGAUUGUAGUCUGCAACUCGACUACAUGAAGCUGGAAUCGCUAGUAAUCGUAGAUCAGCAUGCUACGGUGAAUACGUUCCCGGGUCU
rnacentral:rRNA from 1 species